AAGCGUCCGACAUAAAAAUACCUCAAUUCGAAGCCAUUUAAAACGGCUAAUUGUUAUUACCUGUUCGUAAUUUGCACCUGCAGUUAUCGUUAAAGUAAUCAGCUAACAACGUUGUGUUGUUUACAGACGGCGCCGGUAACAAUGUCAGCGAGUGUCCCGUUAAACAAUAACGAGCCGUUAAUGUAAUGGUUGUUUAAUGAAAGUGUUUAUAUGAAGCAACAAUAUCCCCUGCACCAACAUGAAGCUCGCUGUACUGCUGUUACUGGCGGCGCUGGUGGCCACCGCCGCGGCCGAGACCAGCUGGAGGUUACGGAACGCUCACUCUGUCACCAGCAACUAUGGUAGAACAGCUACAUUGGGAUGUUUUAGGGAUUCGUAUUGCGACGGGGAAUGUGCCAAAACAUGCUUGAAGACAAAGGGGGUGUGCUAUAGAAGCGAAUGCUACUGCAAAACUAAAUAAUGAAAACGACCGCAAACUGACCUUCAUAGAGCGACAAGAAAAGCUGAUGGUUACAUAAAAUUAUUGUUUAUCUGUUUCUACAAAAGUACUGUUUAAUUUGUUCCUUUCUUAAUAAAACUUGAUGAAAUAUUUUAGUGUUUUCUUAUUUAGUGAAAGCGACAUUUUGACCUUGGUUUUUAUUCAUAAGAAACUAUAC